rnacentral:rRNA from 1 species
UACGUAGGGUGCGAGCGUUGUCCGGAAUUAUUGGGCGUAAAGAGCUUGUAGGCGGUUUGUCGCGUCUGCUGUGAAAAUCCGGGGCUCAACCCCGGACUUGCAGUGGGUACGGGCAGACUGGAGUGUGGUAGGGGAGACUGGAAUUCCUGGUGUAGCGGUGGAAUGCGCAGAUAUCAGGAGGAACACCGAUGGCGAAGGCAGGUCUCUGGGCCACUACUGACGCUGAGGAGCGAAAGCAUGGGGAGCGAACAGG